rnacentral:tRNA from 1 species
GAGGGUAUAGCUCAGUGGUAGAGUGCUCAGCAUGCACAAGGCCCUGGGUUCGAUCCCCAGUCCCUCCA